GAAACGAUGUGGGAAGGCCCAGACAGCCAGGAUGUUGGCUUAGAAGCAGCCAUCAUUUAAAGAAAGCGUAAUAGCUCACUGGUCGAGUCGGCCUGCGCGGAAGAUGUAACGGGGCUAAACCAUGCACCGAAGCUGCGGCAGCGACACCGUGUGUUGUUGGGUAGGGGAGCGUUCUGUAAGCCUGUGAAGGUGUGCUGUGAGGCAUGCUGGAGGUAUCAGAAGUGCGAAUGCUGACAUAAGUAACGAUAAAGCGGGUGAAAAGCCCGCUCGCCGGAAGACCAAGGGUUCCUGUCCAACGUUAAUCGGGGCAGGGUGAGUCGACCCCUAAGGCGAGGCCGAAAGGCGUAGUCGAUGGGAAACGGGUUAAUAUUCCCGUACUUGGUGUUACUGCGAAGGGGGGACGGAGAAGGCUAUGUUGGCCGGGCGACGGUUGUCCCGGUUUAAGCGUGUAGGUAUGUGUUCCAGGUAAAUCCGGUUCACUUUAACACUGAGGCGUGACGACGAGGCACUACGGUGCUGAAGCAACAAAUGCCCUGCUUCCAGGAAAAGCCUCUAAGCAUCAGGUAACAUCAAAUCGUACCCCAAACCGACACAGGUGGUCAGGUAGAGAAUACCAAGGCGCUUGAGAGAACUCGGGUGAAGGAACUAGGCAAAAUGGUGCCGUAACUUCGGGAGAAGGCACGCUGACACGUAGGUGAAGUGAUUUACUCACGGAGCUGAAGUCAGCCGAAGAUACCAGCUGGCUGCAACUGUUUAUUAAAAACACAGCACUGUGCAAACACGAAAGUGGACGUAUACGGUGUGACGCCUGCCCGGUGCCGGAAGGUUAAUUGAUGGGGUCAGCGCAAGCGAAGCUCCUGAUCGAAGCCCCGGUAAACGGCGGCCGUAACUAUAACGGUCCUAAGGUAGCGAAAUUCCUUGUCGGGUAAGUUCCGACCUGCACGAAUGGCGUAAUGAUGGCCAGGCUGUCUCCACCCGAGACUCAGUGAAAUUGAACUCGCUGUGAAGAUGCAGUGUACCCGCGGCAAGACGGAAAGACCCCGUGAACCUUUACUAUAGCUUGACACUGAACAUUGAGCCUUGAUGUGUAGGAUAGGUGGGAGGCUUUGAAGUGUGGACGCCAGUCUGCAUGGAGCCGACCUUGAAAUACCACCCUUUAAUGUUUGAUGUUCUAACGUGGACCCGUGAUCCGGGUUGCGGACAGUGUCUGGUGGGUAGUUUGACUGGGGCGGUCUCCUCCUAAAGAGUAACGGAGGAGCACGAAGGUUGGCUAAUCCUGGUCGGACAUCAGGAGGUUAGUGCAAUGGCAUAAGCCAGCUUGACUGCGAGCGUGACGGCGCGAGCAGGUGCGAAAGCAGGUCAUAGUGAUCCGGUGGUUCUGAAUGGAAGGGCCAUCGCUCAACGGAUAAAAGGUACUCCGGGGAUAACAGGCUGAUACCGCCCAAGAGUUCAUAUCGACGGCGGUGUUUGGCACCUCGAUGUCGGCUCAUCACAUCCUGGGGCUGAAGUAGGUCCCAAGGGUAUGGCUGUUCGCCAUUUAAAGUGGUACGCGAGCUGGGUUUAGAACGUCGUGAGACAGUUCGGUCCCUAUCUGCCGUGGGCGCUGGAGAACUGAGGGGGGCUGCUCCUAGUACGAGAGGACCGGAGUGGACGCAUCACUGGUGUUCGGGUUGUCAUGCCAAUGGCACUGCCCGGUAGCUAAAUGCGGAAGAGAUAAGUGCUGAAAGCAUCUAAGCACGAAACUUGCCCCGAGAUGAGUUCUCCCUGAGACUUUAGGUCUCCUGAAGGAACGUUGAAGACGACGACGUUGAUAGGCCGGGUGUGUAAGCGCAGCGAUGCGUUGAGCUAACCGGUACUAAUGAACCGUGAGGCUUAACCUU
rnacentral:rRNA from 1 species